rnacentral:lncRNA from 1 species
CCAACUGCAGGAGAUAGUGCUAAUCUUUUAAUAAAAGAUCCCAUUACAAUGGGAUCUGUCUGGACAGACUAUAAUAGAUCCAGAAAUACAGCCGUGCUAAUAUUAGAAGACAGUUGUUUGGGUGCCUCAGCCUGGGCCCGGGUCCCGCUUUGAAAGUGGGCAUGAAUCACAAUGUCCCCGGUGCCACCUGCAGUCACACGCAUUAAGCGGCAGACUGGUCACCUCAGGACUCUCUCUUUUACAAAGAACAUGUCUGUGUAAAGUUCUGGUGAGUGUGGAUGGAUUGCAAGAAAAACCUGAUUAUUUGAAAAAGUUCUGGAUUUGGAAUGAGAAAAUUUGGAAGCCUGUCCAGACACUUCCCCGCCUAAAAUUCAAGAGAGAUGAAGAAGCCUCUAGCACCCUCCCGUUGUCCUGGAUGUAUUUGUCAUCUGAGCAGGUUUCUCACACAUCCGGCUUCUUCCAUGGAACAGCUGCUCUGAUAAAGGUACUGGAUGAUGGACUGAACUAA